rnacentral:rRNA from 1 species
ACUCCUACGGGAGGCAGCAGUAGGGAAUCUUCCACAAUGGACGAAAGUCUGAUGGAGCAACGCCGCGUGAGUGAAGAAGGGUUUCGGCUCGUAAAACUCUGUUGUUAAAGAAGAACAUAUCUGAGAGUAACUGUUCAGGUAUUGACGGUAUUUAACCAGAAAGCCACGGCUAACUACGUGCCAGCAGCCGCGGCAAUACGUAGGUGGCAAGCGUUGUCCGGAUUUAUUGGGGCGUAAAGCGAGCGCAGGCGGUUUUUAAGUCUGAUGUGAAAGCCUUGGCGUCAACCGAAGAAGUGCAUCGGAAACUGGGAAACUUGAGUGCAGAAGAGGACAGGUGGAACUCCAUGUGUAGCGGUGAAAUGCGUAGAUAUAUGGAAGAACACCAGUGGCGAAGGCGGCUGUCUGGUCUGUAACUGACGCUGAGGCUCGAAAGUAU